rnacentral:rRNA from 1 species
UACGUAGGGGGCAAGCGUUGUCCGGAUUUAUUGGGCGUAAAGAGCGUGUAGGCGGCCAGACAAGUCCGUUGUGAAAACUGGAGGCUUAACCUUCAGACGUCGAUGGAAACUGUCUGGCUAGAGUCCGGAAGAGGAGAAUGGAAUUCCUGGUGUAGCGGUGAAAUGCGCAGAUAUCAGGAAGAACACCCGUGGCUAAGGCGGUUCUCUAGUACGGUACUGACGCUGAGACGCGAAAGCGUGGGGAGCGAACAGGAUUAGAAACCCGAGUAGUAGUCC